rnacentral:rRNA from 2 species
AACAGCUGCGGUAUUAUAACUGUACUAAGGUAGCAUAAUAAUUUGCCUUAUAAAUUAGGGCUAGAAUGAAUGGUUUGACGAAAAUUAUACUGUCUCUAUUUUAAUUAAUAGAAAUUAAUUUUUAUAGUGAAAAAGCUUAAAUAGUUUAAAGGGACGAGAAGACCCUAUUGAGUUUUGUAUUAGUUAUGAUAAAAUAAUUUAUUAGUUAAAUAAAAUUUAUGUUUAUUAUGUUUAAUUUUGGUUGGGGUGAUCAAGGAAUAAGAUAAACAUUACUUAACUUCCUUAAAGAAUUAGUUUUUUAGAAUAAUUAACCAAUGAUAUUGCUUAUAUGAUAAGUUACCAUAGGGAUAACAGCGUAAUUUUUUUGGAGAGUUCAUAUUAAAAAAAGAGAUUGCGACCUCGAUGUUGGAUUAAAAUAACCAUAUGGUGAAGAGGCUUUAUAUGGUGAAUCUGUUCGAUUUUUAAAAUUUU